rnacentral:rRNA from 1 species
GUGAGGAAUAUUGCGCAAUGGAGGCAACUCUGACGCAGCCAUGCCGCGUGCAGGAAGAAGGCGCUACGCGUUGUAAACUGCUUUUAACCGGGAAGAAACCCCAGGACGUGUCCUGGGUUGACGGUACCGGAGGAAUAAGCACCGGCUAACUUCGUGCCAGCAGCCGCGGUAAUACGAAGGGUGCAAGCGUUAUCCGGAUUCAUUGGGUUUAAAGGGUGCGUAUGCGGAGCGUUAAGUCAGUGGUGAAAUCCUGCAGCUUAACUGUAGACUUGCCAUUGAUACUGGCGCUCUUGAGUGCGCUUGAAGUGGGCGGAAUGUGCCGUGUAGCGGUGAAAUGCUUAGAUAUGGCACAGAACACCAAUUGCGAUGGCAGCUCACUAAGGCGAUACUGACGCUGAGGCACGAAAGCGUGGGGAUCGAACAGGAUUAGAAACCCGAGUAGUCC